GUAUACAUAACGACAAGCGUUUAUUAUAAUUCUUAAAGCUACGCAUAUUUCUCCAUUUUUACCCCCAUUUUCAUCCCCAUUCCUAUCUCCAGUCCUAUCUCCAGUCCUAUUCCCAGUCCUAUCUCCAGUCCUAUCUCCAGUCCUAUACCCAGUCCUAUCUCCAGUCCCAUCCCCAGUCCUAUCCCCAUUUCCUUUCUGCUGUUAUAUAUACAUACAUACUAGUGUAAUUAAAAAAGAAAACUGAUUUGAAAUUGCAUAUAAAAAGGUGUAUGCAUAUAUGUACAUACAUCGUUAUACACUUGUAGCAAAACAUGGAGUACUUCAAUAAUGGGCACGGCAAAAAAAUGAAAAAAUAUAAAAGAUAUAAAAAGAGGCACAUGUUCUACCAUAACAAUGUGAAGUUCUAUGGUACCAACUUAAAUUUUAAUAUGCAUAAUAUUAAUAAUGGGUACAGAAGAUUAAAGAUUUUUACGAUUAUAAAAAAUGAAAUAAUAAAUGUAUUAUCAGUUAUUAAAAAAUAUGAAUACAACAAAGGCUUAGAUUCAAGCACAAUAGAUGCACUAUUUAUUUUGUAUAACAGUAUUAGCAAUUUAUAUAAUAAUGUGGAUAAUAAUGUGAAUAAUAAUGUGGAUACUAAUGUGGAUAAUAAUGUGAAUUAUUGUGCAAGUUAUAGUGCAAGUUAUAGUGAUAGUAAUAGUGAUAGUAAUAGUGGUAGUAAUAGUGGUAGUGAUAAUGUGGGUGACCGAAAUAGCACAAUCGAUUUUAACAAGUUAGAUAUAUACCAUAUAGCACCAUUUUUAAAUAUCAUCCGCAACAAUAACAUAUUUUUUAAAAUAAAAUUAACAGCGUUACAUUCGUUAGAUCAUAUAUUACGAUAUAACUAUAUUUAUUCAAACAAAAAAGUGAAUAAUACAAAUCCCUAUACAAAAUCAGAUUUUUACAAAUCAAUAUAUAAUAACACCGAUUGCAAUAGUAAUAACAGCAGAAAUAAAAAACAUAAACAUAGUAACGUUCAUAACAAUAUAAAUAUCAGUCAUUGUGAUUCGAUUCAUGUAAAAGAAUUUAAAGAUAAGAAUAUACAAAUGUUAUCUACUAGUAGUGAAAACGAUAUAAAAUGUAACGAAAAAAAAAAUAAAAAAAAAAAAAAAAAAAAAAAAAAAAAAAAAAAGAAGAAGCGGAAGAAGCAGAAGAAGUGGGAAAAGCAGAAGAAGUGGGAAAAGCAGAAGAAGAAGAAGAAGAAAAGUACAAAAAUAAAGCUUCGACUAAAGUAGAGACAGACAAAAAUGGUUCUCAUAAAACGUAUAAAAAUGAAUACGAAAAUAAAGUGGUAACAAAUGUCA
rnacentral:lncRNA from 1 species